rnacentral:rRNA from 1 species
ACGCUCGACACCUACGGGGGCAGCAGUGGGGAAUAUUGCACAAUGGGGGAAACCCUGAUGCAGCAACGCCGCGUGAAGGAAGACGGUUUUCGGAUUGUAAACUUCUGUUCUUAGUGAAGAUAGUGACGGUAGCUAAGGAGCAAGCCACGGCUAACUACGUGCCAGCAGCAGCGGUAAUCUGAGCGGGCUGGCAAGGC